GACAGAGGCCUCAAGCGUUAGGCGGAAUCACUGGGCUUAAAGCGUGUGUAGGCGGAUCGUUAAGUGUCUUGUGAAAUCCCACGGCUCACCCGUGGAACGGCUGGGCAUACUGGCGAUCUUGGGCCAACUAGGGGCAACUGGAACAAGCGGUGGAGCGGUGAAAUGCGUAGAUAUCGCUUGGAACGCCAAAGGUGAAAACAGGUUGCUGGGGUUGUGCCGACGCUGGAGGCACGAAAGCCAGGGGAGCAAACGGG
rnacentral:rRNA from 1 species